rnacentral:rRNA from 1 species
UAUCUCUGUAGAGUCUGCAUAUCAAUAAGCGGAGGAAAAGAAACUAACUAGGAUUCCCUCAGUAACGGCGAGUGAAGCGGGAAGAGCUCAAAUUUGAAAUCUUCAAGGUUCUACCUUGACGAAUUGUAGUUUAAAGAAGUGUUUUCUGUUGGAGUUUUGGUAAAAGUUCUUUGGAAUAGGACAUCAUAGAGGGUGAGAAUCCCGUAUUUGACCAUUAUUUCCAGCUUUGUGAUACACUUUCAAAGAGUCGGAUUGUUUGGGAAUGCAGUCCAAAAUGGGUGGUAAAUUUCAUCUAAAGCUAAAUAUUGGCGAGAGACCGAUAGCGAACAAGUACCGUGAGGGAAAGAUGAAAAGAACUUUGAAAAGAGAGUUAAACAGUACGUGAAAUUGUCAAAAGGGAAGCGUUUGACACCAGUGUUGUUUUCUCGAAAAUCAAUUAAAAAAGGCAGGAUUUUGUAUUGUAAUUGACCUUUAUCAGCUUACUGCUACUCUUUUCUUGUCUUUUUUAAUGCACUUUACGUUUAACAAGUCAACAUCAAUUUCUUUUGUUGUAAAAGGGUCAUUGGAAGGUGGCUUUCUUUUCGGAGAAAGUGUUUAUAGCCUUUGGCCUCUGCAAUCGGAGAGAUUGAGGUCUGCAGGCGUAGAUCCUCCGGGGUUAGAUACAUUUGUGCUAAGUUAUAGCCUUUCAUAGACAACUUGUUGACUAUGAUCAGUCAUGUAGCUUACUCGCUUAUGCUAUUUUACCUACGCUUAGGAUGUUGAAGUCAUCGUAUCGCGC